rnacentral:rRNA from 1 species
UUGGAGGGCAAGUCUGGUGCCAGCAGCCGCGGUAAUUCCAGCUCCAAUAGCGUAUAUUAAAGUUGUUGCAGUUAAAAAGCUUGUAGUUGAAUUUUGGAUUCUUCCAAUUGGUCCAUCUUUUAGAUGAGUACUGGUUGUGUGGGGUCUAUCCGCCUGGUAAUACGUAAUGUCCUUUAUUGGAUGUUGCGGGUAGUCAGGACCUUUACCUUGAAAAAAUUAGAGUGUUUAAAGCAGGCUUAUGCCGGAAUACAUCAGCAUGGAAUAAUAGAAUAGGACGAAGUUGUUUUAUUUUGUUGGUUUCUAGGACAACCGUAAUGAUUAAUAGGGAUAGUUGGGGGCAUUAGUAUUCAAUUGUCAGAGGUGAAAUUCUUGGAUUUAUUGAAGACUAACUACUGCGAAAGCAUUUGCCAAGGAUGUUUUCAUUAAUCAAGAACGAAAGUUAGGGGAUCGAAGACGAUCAGAUACCGUCGUAGUCUUAACCAUAAACUAUGCCGACUAGGGAUCGGGCGAUGUUGUUUCCAUGACUCGCUCGGCACCUUAUGGGAAACCAAAGUGUUUGGGUUC